rnacentral:rRNA from 1 species
GACGAACGCUGGCGGCGUGCUUAACACAUGCAAGUCGAACGGAAAGGCCUCUUUCGGGGGGUACUCGAGUGGCGAACGGGUGAGUAACACGUGAGUAACCUGCCCUUGACUUUGGGAUAACUUCAGGAAACUGGGGCUAAUACCGGAUAGGAGCUCCUGCUGCAUGGUGGGGGUUGGAAAGUUUCGGCGGUUGGGGAUGGACUCGCGGCUUAUCAGCUUGUUGGUGGGGUAGUGGCUUACCAAGGCUUUGACGGGUAGCCGGCCUGAGGGGGUGACCGGCCACAUUGGGACUGAGAUACGGCCCAGACUCCUAUGGGAGGCAGCAGUGGGGAAUAUUGCACAAUGGGUGGAAGCCUGAUGCAGCAACGCCGUGUGCGGGAUGACGGCCUUCGGGUUGUAAACCGCUUUCGCUCAUGACGAAGCUUUGUGUGACGGUAGUGGGUAAAGAAGCACCGGCUAACUACGUG